CCUACGGGAGGCAGCAGUGGGGAAUUUUGGACAAUGGGGGCAACCCUGAUCCAGCCAUUCCGCGUGAGUGAAGAAGGCCUUCGGGUUGUAAAGCUCUUUCGCAAGGGAAGAAAACUUAUGAUCGAAUAAAUCAUGAGGUUGACGGUACCUUGAUAAGAAGCACCGGCUAACUACGUGCCAGCAGCCGCGGUAAUACGUAGGGUGCGAGCGUUAAUCGGAAUUACCGGGCGUAAAGCGUGCGCAGGCGGUUUUGUAAGUCGGAUGUGAAAUCCCCGGGCUCAACCUGGGAACUGCGUUCGAAACUGCAAGGCUAGAGUGUGUCAGAGGGGGGUAGAAUUCCACGUGUAGCAGUGAAAUGCGUAGAGAUGUGGAGGAAUACCAAUGGCGAAGGCAGCCCCCUGGGAUAACACUGACGCUCAUGCACGAAAGCGUGGGGAGCAAACAGGAUUAGAUACCCUGGUAGUCCACGCCCUAAACGAUGUCAACUAGUUGUUGGUAGAGUAAAAUCUAUGAGUAACGUAGCUAACGCGUGAAGUUGACCGCCUGGGGAGUACGGUCGCAAGAUUAAAACUCAAAGGAAUUGACGG
rnacentral:rRNA from 1 species